rnacentral:rRNA from 1 species
GUCUUAUUGAAUAAUAAUUUUAAGUCAAUUCUGCCCAAUGAUUUUAAAUAAUUAAAUGGCUGCGGUAUAAUUGACUGUACAAAGGUAGCAUAAUCAAUUGUUUUUUAAUUAAAAACUGGAAUGAAAGAGUUAAUGAGAUAUACACUGUCUCAUAUAUAUUAAAUUAAUUUAAAUUUUUAGUUAAAAUGCUAAAAUUAAUUUAUGGGACGAUAAGACCCUAUAGAAUUUUAUAUUAAUAUUUUAAUUAUAAUUUUAUUAUUGAAUAUUAAUAUUUUGUUGGGAGGAUAGGUAAAUUUAUUAAACUUUAUUUUAAAUAUUAACUUUAAUUAAAGAAUAUAUUUUGAUCUUUUAGUAAAAAUGAAAAGAGUAAAUUACCUUAGGGAUAACAGCGUAAUAUCUUUUUAAAGAUCUUAUUGAAAAAGAUGAUUGCGACCUCGAUGUUGAAUUAAGAUAAAUUUUAAAUGAAGAAAUUUAAUAAUUAAGUCUGUUCGACUUUUAAAAUCUC